AAUCAACGCUGGCGGCGCGCCUAACACAUGCAAGUCGAACGAGAAAGUGGAGCAAUCCAUGAGUAAAGUGGCGCACGGGUGAGUAAUACGUGACUAACCUACCCUGGAGUGGGGGAUAACUGAGGGAAACCUUAGCUAAUACCGCAUAAUACCUACGGGUCAAAGGAGCAAUUCGCUUCAGGAGGGGGUCGCGGCCGAUU
rnacentral:rRNA from 1 species